rnacentral:rRNA from 1 species
ACCAGACUCCUACGGGAGGCAGCAGUGGGGAAUAUUGGGCAAUGGGCGCAAGCCUGACCCAGCAACGCCGCGUGAAGGAAGAAGGCUUUCGGGUUGUAAACUUCUUUUCUCAGGGACGAAGCAAGUGACGGUACCUGAGGAAUAAGCCACGGCUAACUACGUGCCAGCAGCCGCGGUAAUACGUAGGUGGCAAGCGUUAUCCGGAUUUACUGGGUGUAAAGGGCGUGUAGGCGGGAAAGCAAGUCAGAUGUGAAAACCAUGGGCUCAACCUGUGGCCUGCAUUUGAAACUGUUUUUCUUGAGUACUGGAGAGGCAGACGGAAUUCCUAGUGUAGCGGUGAAAUGCGUAGAUAUUAGGAGGAACACCAGUGGCGAAGGCGGCUUUCUGGACUGAAACUGACGCUGAGGCACGAAAGCGUGGGGAGCGAACAGGAUCAGAUACCCCAGUA